UUUUUCACCCUUGGAUUUCUUCACAGAACAGCGCUGCUUCACAACGAGCUCCCGGUUUCAAAACAUAACCACCGGGGGGUUCUUACCCUUAUACAGGGCGGCUGUGGCUCAGGUGGUAGAGCAGGUUGGCCGCUAAUCGCAGGGUUGGCGUUUCGAUUCCUGGCCCACAUGACUCCACAUGCCUUUUCCUGGAUCCUGGAUGUGGAUGUGGAUGUGGAUGUGGAUGUGGAGUUUCAGGUGAAACACCGGGAAGAUGUAUUCACCACUGGAUGAUCCGCCUUGAGGGGCACAUCAUUUGUGAAGGCGUUUCAUCAGGAUAAAUCCUGAGAGAAGCAUCAAGGAUGGCAGAGGCAAAGUCCUGUCAAAGCAUACGGGGAAAGUUGCCCAGAAAAAGAUGACAUCAAUCAACCCUCGUGUCUCCAGACUAAAGAAACAAAUGGACUUUGAGUGGGACUUUAUAUAAGUCAGUGAACCCAGUCUCACACACACACUUUUAGUCAUUCAUUCAGCCACUUUCUCAGUUAUUUACAUUAUUUGUUAUAAUAUAUAUGUAUUAUUUAUAUGGCUGAAAUGUACGUUUAUUUACCCCAAUCAGUAAAAAAAGGUUUAGAAAAAAAAGGUAAACAAAUUGUAGUCCUUUUUGCUAGCAAUCCAUUACUCAAUAGCUCAUACAGUGGCAUGUAGUGUAUUUGUACUGUAGAUUACAGUAAAAUCCUGUAAAUAUAA